CAUUAAGUUUCUUAAAGCCAAGAAUUGGUCUCUUAAACCAAGAUAUAGUAAAUUAGUGAUUACUCUUAAUGA
rnacentral:tRNA from 1 species